GGUGAGCGGGAUCCUGUUCAAUAAUGAAAUGGACGACUUCAGCUCUCCCAGCAUCACCAACGAGUUUGGGGUACCCCCCUCACCUGCCAAUUUCAUCCAGCCAGCCCCCAAGCCAUGCUGAUCACACUCCCAUGCCCCAGGCCAUCAUCUACAACCUCUGGUUCGGCUACGACGUGAAGCGGGCCGUGGAGGAGCCCCGGCUGCACAACCAGCUUCUGCCCAACGUCACGACAGUGGAGAGAAACAUUGACCAGGCAGUGACUGCAGCCCUGGAGACCCGGCAUCAUCACACCCAGAUCGCGUCCACCUUCAUCGCUGUGGUGCAAGCCAUCGUCCGCACGGCUGGUGGCUGGGCAGCUGCCUCGGACUCCAGGAAAGGCGGGGAACCUGCUGGCUACUGAUUGCUCCAGGCGGACAAGGCUGACAAGCAAUCCAGGGACAAAAUACUCACCAGGACCAGGAAGAGGACUUUGGGGGACGGGCUUCUCCUGUGAGCAGCAGAGCAGCACAAUAAAUGAGGCCACUGUGCCAGGCUCCA
rnacentral:sRNA from 1 species